AAUCACGAACCGUUCUCCAAUACACGGACAGUAGGUGAUCCACAACGGGACCUCUCCGAACUCGUUUGGAUUAGAACUCUGCAGCGCACAAGGAGAGGGUAGCCGGAGAGGUGAUCUUCGGAUCUUCCCCGUUGGACGGAGUCUCGGCCAGAUAGGUAGCCUCGACGUUGCCCGCCAUGGUCAACGACGAGGUCGGCACCAAGCUCGUCCGCUUUCUCUACUUCGUCGGCGCCGGAGUCAUCUGCACCAAGGGGAUCAACCUCUGGAAAGACUACGAGCGGAAGGCCGCCAUGAAGACGGCCGAAACCCCUCAGGCUCCGGCAGAGAUGGUAAACGGAGCUGCCGCCACCCCUAAAUCUUGAAUCUUGAUUAGGGUUUCCUUCUGCCCCUGAUUCCUUCUAUCUUCUCUUUCUGUUUAUGUUAAUUCAUUCAUGAAUUUCCAUAAAACUUAGUCAGGCCGUGCUGGUUUUAGCUGGACAUCAGGAAAAUGGAUUGAAAUAUGUACAAAAAUUACUGCAAUAACGCUUUUAUUGAGUAAGAUUGGACUUUUUAUCUCGACAUUCUCUUGAUAAGAAUCUUUGAAUUAUUUACAA